CACGUAGUUAGCCGGUGCUUUUUCUGCAGGUACCGUCACUUUCGCUUCCUCCCUGCUAAAAGAGGUUUACAACCCGAAGGCCGUCGUCCCUCACGCGGCGUUGCUGCAUCAGGCUUGCGCCCAUUGUGCAAUAUUCCCCACUGCUGCCUCCCGUAGGAGUCUGGGCCGUGUCUCAGUCCCAGUGUGGCCGGUCACCCUCUCAGGCCGGCUACCCGUCGACGCCUUGGUGAGCCGUUACCUCACCAACAAGCUGAUAGGCCGCGAGCUCAUCCCUGACCGAAAUUCUUUCCAACUGCUGAAGAUGCCUUCGCAGCUCGUAUCCGGUAUUAGCAGCUGUUUCCAACUGUUAUCCCAGAGUCAGGGGCAGAUUGCUCACGUGUUACUCACCCGUUCGCCACUGAUCCAGCAGAGCAAGCUCCACCUUCACCGUUCGACUUGCAUGUGUUAAGCACGCCGCCAGCGUUCAUCCUGAGCCAGGAUCUAAA
rnacentral:rRNA from 1 species